AUAUAAAGGCUAUCUAGUUGCGACUGCUGUCGCCCAAUUCAUUGUCAGGGUUGAGGUGGCUAAUCGAGGUGGCUAGGCUGGUAUCCUCUUCUUCAUUGUUACUGAAGCUGCAUCCUUGGUGGAAGAAGACAACCAUCCUGAUAGAGGAGGAACCUCUUUGAUCAAGGGUAUACGAAUAGCUGUGCCACUUGUAGAACUUCCAUACAGACUCAACAAAACAGGCAUUGAGCUGGACCCUGAAGUAGAAACAUGACUAGAUGGAGGGCAGGCAUGCACACGAGUGCAGAAAUGGUCGUGCCCACUGAUUAU
rnacentral:snRNA from 1 species